AUUUUCCUUAUUUUCAUUUUCAUAUAAUUUUCUCUUCUUUUCUUAAUACUCCAGCACUAAGUGUGAGGAGCACUAAGCGUUUUAGUCAGUGACACUAACAUUUAAGCACCAAAUUUUAAGAGUUAAAUGGAUAAAAGCAGCUUACCCUGUCUUUGUGCAAGCUAAGUGAGUAAAUAUCUUUUUUAACCUGUCACUGAGUCCUAACGUGAAAUAUUCAGUGUUUAAAACAAAGCAAAGAGUUAGACCAUCACAUUCACAAGCUCCUCUAAAUCAGGCUCAUGUGAACGCUGAGCGUAUAAAUGCUUGCCUUAUUGGUGCAGUUGAUUGAACCCCACAUUUUCAUGUAAGAAUGUUUCUGGUCCCUUUAUUUAACAAUUAGUGUUGACUCAACACCUUGGGAGCAGACGCCACGUUUUGAAAGUCCUACAGCAACCUCCUGUAUUUCCCAGGGUCUGUAUUCCCUUCAUCUCCUUUCAUCUCCUACCAAAAGGAAGCUACCAAUAGGUUUGUAUAAAUGCAGCCACUGUUUUGCAUUCUACUCUAAGCUCCUUGCUUCAUUUCUUCUGGACUUAGCUCAUUAUAGUUAAAUGGUGCUAGAAGCUUGUGUCUUGGUGUGCUGCUAAUGGGGCAGAGCUCCAAUUAGCUGCUGGCGCAAGCACUGAAACAAAUCAGCAGCAUCUGCAAUGCACAGCUGGAUGGCAAAGACACCCGAAAUAUGCUGGGGAUUGAACUGAAGCCAAAGGCAGGAGCACUAAAGACAGAAAUCUGGAUCAGGCCUUGGAGAAGAUGGCUGUAGGGCCCACAGCUUGAGAGUCUGUCUGCGUAUGGAGGGUUAAAGAAGAGCUCAGAGAAGAGACAAAGUUUGGACUGCAGCAAUCAUGGUGGAGUUCACAGCAAUGCAACUACUCUGCAGAGAUUCUCCCAGGCACUCGGUGCUCCCUUGGUCAUCCCCAGCUUCAGCAGCCAUUCUUCGGAACGUAUUAGUGAAGAGAGAUUUGUUGCCAUGCUGCAUCACACCAUUUUUUUUUCCUCCAGCUAUUAUAUUACUUGCUAGGCUGUUGAAAAGAAGAAGCAAAAAUACAGCUCAAACUACCAGCAUUCUUUGCCACAAACCUGUAUCAACAGCAGCUUGUCCUGGCCGUUGAGCUCAUCUCUCAAAUCUGUAAAGCCUAACUCUGGCAAAUCUGUUCACAGCAUGUUUAGCUUAAAUCCUUCAAGCAUUACUAUUGUAAAUUAGGAAGUAUUCUGAAGUGCCUCAGUGAUACAUUUAACUGGGGCCUAAAGAAACGAGUAAAUAAGAUAUAAGGCGGAAAAGAAUGUGUCCUUGAUUUGAGUGUUUUCCCUGUUGUUUAGGAUAAUGCAUUUUAUCACUGAAUAAUUUCUGAUCUUUGCAAAACACUAUGGAAAUUGCUUGUUGACACAGUGUCAGAGCUGAGAUGUUUAUGUUUUCCUGGUGCUUUUAAUCUGUCGCAAAUCUUUGGCAACAAUAUCUUUGAGGCUGGGGAAAAUGUGUCUGAAAUUGUAUUGACAUUGCAAAUGGAUUUACAAGCUUGUCCUUUAAAAUCUUCUUUCCCCUUUGUGCUUUACUGCUUACAGUAGAGUGGCAAUAUUCUGGAUAACUUCAGAAAUACGUAUAGUGGUUUGAAUGCAAACUGUGUAUUCUGAGACCAAGUUUCCAUCUCAGCAUCACUGCAACCACCAUUUUUGUAUACUGAGAUAUAGGUGAUGCCAUAUGCUAUGUCUGCUAUUUCAUCUCACUGAGUAACACUGUAGACAAACAGAGAACAACUAAGAGCAUCAACAAAAUCAUUUCAUACUAAAGACAGCAUUUCUGUGAUGCAACACGUGGAGACUGUUCCUACUUUUCAUGUGGAAUUUCACAGUACAGCCAUGCAAUAAGGAAACCACUGGGUCGCCAAAUGACUCACUGCAUCACUUGGUAAUAAACAAAUGCUUGCUUCAUAAAAUGCAUCUUUCUACUAAAUUCCUGCCUUGAGAGUUUUAUGUAGCUGUAAAAAUUUGCUGAAAAAGCUCUGAGAUGUACAGAGUGAUACUAGUUUGAAUUACAGCUUCCCUAUUCAAAUAGCCUUACACUAUUCCUCUGAAAAGUUGCUUUAUCAGAAAUGGGAUCUUUAUUUCACACAGAUGACAUGUGAACACACUGGCUUGGAGGAGAAUAGAUUCCAUAUAGCUUUUCUGGUUAUGAACAUGAUGAGACUGCAAGUAUUUCACUCCUACUACAGACUCAGGGCUCCAGUUUUGCCUGCUACGUGUCCUUUGAUAUGGAUUGAUAAUAAGAAAUAUCUCCACUUCACUGAUUUCUGGUUUUUUUUCUAACUCCUCUCAUAUCUGCUGCUAACCCAUUAGUGAAAGAAAGAAUAUAAAUAAUGAAUGAGCCAUUACAAUGCAGGAUCCUAGUGAAAGACUGCAAGAAACUCAGACUUUUCCAGGGAAGGCUAACAUGAUUCAUACCGUACGCUUGCAUAAUAUUGGCGGCUAUAAGACUUAGGAGGAAUUAUUUUAACAGUUUGUUGUUCUCACAUAUCUUUAAAUAUUUGUCAUUGUGGGUCUCAGGGGAAGCCCAUGUUUAAGUUGGACAAGAGUUGUACGGAUAAAUCAUUACUGCUAGCAGAUCAUUCAGGACCAUCCACUUCCAUAGUCAGGCUCUAUUACUCACCAGUUCUAGCGCCAGCUGAAGACACCAAGGCACGGCUUCAUGCUGGAAUAUCACUGGAAUCUUUGAAUAUUACUGGAUCUCUGAGUAGUGCCCAGAGCUGCCUAUGGAGCCACAUAGGCCACAGAUUUCUGAAAUUUGAAAACCUUCACAGUUGUGAAUUUUCCAGCUGUUCUGUUUCAUAGAUUUAUUUACCCAUUUUGCAACUCUUCAAAAUUAAACUAAAUAUAAAACUGAUGUGUCACUGCCAAAUCCAAAAUCAAAGCAUUUAUUGUGAAAAUAUCAAGAUUAAACUUUUAAUCUUUGAUUCCUUCCCUCUUGGCUUUUCCAGAUGAGACAAUUAAGGAAAUUCAUUUGAAGUUCCCAUGUACUCUUGCUGCCUUGACUUGUUCAGAGAAUUUACUAUUUAGAAUCAAAAUGGUGUUCCUCCGAAGCAGUGCAAAGCAAUCCUUCCUCUGCAGCCAAGACAUUCUGCAAAACUGAGAGCCAAAAGGGCUCCCAAUAGGCAGUCCACUCUCAUGCUGUCCCACAUAAGCAAUCACAUGUUGCACAUAUUGAAACAUUUGCAGUUCUAAUUGUAGGAGUUUUCAAGUAAACACCUUGAUUUCAUGUUUUAUUUUUUUUUGCGUUGUUGUUUAAAAUUUGAGUUCUCCUUCACAGUGUUGCAAACACAAACACAGCCACGCAGAACAAUACUUCCAUGGAACAGAAUUUGUGUAAUUUGGCUACCCAGACAACUGGGUAAGCCCAAUUACACAAAUGCAAGGAGCUGGAAUCUCUAGGGUCUUCCAUGGGGGGAGAGCCCUGCGUGCGAACGGAUUGGCACUUGUCUUGCUCCAUCCUUUUUUCAUGUGUCAUUCCAGAAAGCAGAACCAGACUACAAACUCAUGCCGUGGCUCCACAGCCAGCUGAGGCCGAGAAGCCUGAGGAGUUUCUUUUAUGCGCCUAGCAUGAGCCUGUAUAUUAAAG
rnacentral:lncRNA from 1 species